rnacentral:lncRNA from 1 species
GGGAUGAGUGAGUGAGAGGGUGAAUAAAUAAAUAACACGAUUUCGCGGGAAAGACAAGACGCUUGCUUCGGCAUAAAAACCCUCACGGUGCAGAGGGAAAAGCCGAAGCAAGACAAGUGUUUAUUAACUGCAAAUCAGAUCAUCAUAAAACAGGAUAAUACAGUCGCUGGUGCGUUCCUUGUCAACUAGAUUGAAUGAUCAUUCAAUAAUCUUAAGCCAACUUAUCUAAGUCUCCAUGAGAAACCGUGCUCCGCAACUUCCACGCACUCGUGGAAGCAGGGAAUGGGGAGCGUCAAGGUGGCCCAAUGCCGUGCAAAUAGCGGAAAUCGGAAGGGCACACUCUGA